UUGAGAGUUUGAUCCUGGCUCAGGACGAACGCUGGCGGCGUGGAUAAGGCAUGCAAGUCGAGUGGGUUUAGACCCACGGCAAACGGGUUAGUAAUACAUAGGAAUCUUCCCUGAAGUCGCGAAUAAUCCGGAGAAAUCCGGAAUAAUACGCGAUGUGUUCUACGGAAUAAAGAUUUAUCGCUUCAGGAGGAGCCUAUGUCCUAUCAGCUUGUUGGUGAGGUAAUGGCUCACCAAGGCUAUGACGGGUAGGGGGCGUGAGAGCGUGGCCCCCAACAUUGGGACUGAGACACUGCCCAAACACCUACGGGUGGCUGCAGUCGAGAAUAUUCCACAAUGGACGAAAGUCUGAUGGAGCGACGCCGCGUGCAGGAUGAAGGUUUUCGGAUUGUAAACUGCUUUUGUAUGGGAAGAAUUUCGAUGACGGUACCAUACGAAUAAGAGGUUACUAACUCUGUGCCAGCAGUAGCGGUAAUACAGAGACCUCAAGCGUUGUCCGGAUUUAUUGGGCGUAAAGCGCAGGUAGGCGGACAUGUUAGUCAGAUGUCAAAUCCUCCGACUCAAUCGGAGAACUGCAUUUGAAACGGCAUGUCUAGAGAGCGUGAGGGACCACUGGAACUUAUGGUGUAGCAGUGAAAUGCGUUGAUAUCAUAAGGAACACCAAAGGCGAAGGCAUGUGGUUGGCACGUUUCUGACGCUGAGCUGCGAAAGCGUGGGUAGCGAAUGGGAUUAGAUACCCCAGUAGUCCACGCUGUAAACGAUGCAUACUAGGCAUCGGGAGUAUCGACCCUCUCGGUGUCGUAGCUAACGCGUUAAGUAUGCCGCCUGGGAAGUACGGCCGCAAGGCUAAAACUCAAAGGAAUAGACGGGGAUCCGCACAAGUGGAGGAUCAUGUGGUUCAAUUCGACGAUAAGCGAGAAACCUCACCAGGGCUUGAAACUAAGCUGCAAGGUCAAGAAAUUGACCCGCCUUCGAGGGUGCUUAGCAGGUGCUGCAUGGUUGUCGUCAGCUCGUGUCGUAAGAUGUUCCGUUAAGUCGGGAAACGAGCGCAACCCCUGUCGUGUGUUAGAUAUGUCACACGAGACUGCCCAGACUAUUGUUCAUGAAAGAGAUUUCGUGGCCAGCAGUCUGGGAGGAAGGAGGGGAUGACGUCAAAUCAGCAUGGCCCUUUGACGCCCUGGGCGACACACGUGAUACAAUGGCCGGUACAGAGGGUUGCCAAACCGCGAGGUGGAGCUAAUCCCAAAAAGCCGGCCCCAGUUCGGAUAGGAGUCUGCAACUCGACUCCUUGAAGCCGGAUUCACUAGUAAUCGGAGAUCAGAACGCUCCGGUGAAUACGUUCUCGGAUCUUGUACUCACCGCCCGUCACACCAAGAGAGUCGGUAACACCCGAAGGCCCCGGGUUAAAUCGGGGACAACGGUGGGAUCGAUGAUAAGGGUGAAGUCGUAACAAGGCAUCCGUAGCGGAAGCUGUGGAUGGAUCACCUCCUU
rnacentral:rRNA from 1 species